rnacentral:rRNA from 1 species
UAAGGAAUAUUGGUCAAUGGAGGCAACUCUGAACCAGCCAUGCCGCGUGCAGGAUGACGGCCCUAUGGGUUGUAAACUGCUUUUGUACCAGAGAAAACCCCAGUACGUGUACUGGGUUGAUAGUAUGGUAAGAAUAAGCAUCGGCUAACUUCGUGCCAGCAGCCGCGGUAAGACGAAGGAUGCAAGCGUUAUCCGGAUUCAUUGGGUUUAAAGGGUGCGUAGGCGGACUUGUAAGUCAGUGGUGAAAUCUCUCAGCUUAACUGAGAAACUGCCAUUGAUACUGCAGGUCUAGAGUAUAGAUGACGUUGGCGGAAUAUGACAUGUAGUGGUGAAAUACUUAGAUAUGUCAUAGAACACCGAUUGCGAAGGCAGCUAACGAAACUAUAACUGACGCUGAGGC